rnacentral:lncRNA from 1 species
GCGUGUAGAUGUCAGCCGCCGGUGGCGGGGCCUCUGGAGAUGCCGCUUUCGCUUUCUUUUUUUUUAAUCUUCUCGCUCCCUCUGUCUUUUCUCUCUCUUUCUGCACAGAUCAGAGCUCCUGCCGCUGGUACAGCGGUGAGAGAAUCAAAAAGACGGCCGCAGGCGAGGAAAGAGGAGCUCGAUUGCCUCCGGACCCCCCCGCGUCGCGCCCCUUACCCUCCUCUUCGGCUGCUGCUGCUGCCGCUGCCGCCUCUGCCGCCGCGGGGAGCGGACUAGCCACCACCAGCUAGGCUCCCACUUCUCCCCGGCCAGAAGAAGAGACGGAAGAGGCCCGCCUCGUCCUCUUCACCUCGAGCUCUGCUACCGCUAUCACGGUCGCCGCCUCCUGCACAGGCCACACCGCCAACAGGGAAGAGGCAUCAGAAGAGCAUGAAGUCUAAAGGCAUCCGUCCCUCCACACUUCUCUCUCUCUCACUCACCCUCUGUCCACCGGUACAGGGGGGGGGGGGGGGAGAGAAAAAGGAGGAGAGCGAAAGGGAUGCUGAAACCCUAGCUCUACUUCGAAAGUCGGCGAUUGCGAUUGCGAAGAACGGGGCGGCGUGGCGAUGAGAAUUCAGGAACAAUCACCGCAAGACUGAGGCGAUUGGGAUGGUCUACUCGCACCGUCUUUCGGCGCGCGCUUUCAGAUCUGAGGAUUUCCGAGCCCUGGGAGACCGAGGACGAAACCGACGCGAGCUACGCGAGCGAGACGAGGGGAUCGAUCGAUCAUUCGCAGCUCCCGCAGCCGCAUUUAAGACCGGCACAGAAAGACGGGAGCGGAAAUACCGAGCUCCGUCCGCCUUCCUCCGCUCAGUUCUUCCUCCUCCGCGCGAGAUUCCACAGCCGCAGGAUCUACCUCGCCUCCGUCCGCUGCAGCUCGCUCAGGCGACACUCCCUCCCUGCUCCCGCCUACAGGCCGGCGAGCAGCAUUCCUCGGCCGACUGCCGGAGAAGCGCGCUCAUCCCUCCGCCCUCUCCCUCUCCGCCGCCGAGCCACGCUGCCGCAGAGUUCUCUCCCCGCGCUUUAAGCACAGUGAAGGUGAACAAGGGGAGGGAGAGGACGUCGCCGCCGCCGCCGUUGCCGCUGCGAGCUACCUGGUCGCGGAGUGGGUGUGGGGAUGGGGCCUCCCCCUUGGCGUCGUACAUUCCCCACAUUUAUCGAGACCGCGGCGCACAACGCCACCCCACCGCCGGCGAUUAAUCCUCCGUCAACUCCCGUAAAACCAUCUCCCCACAUGCUAAUGACACCCCUCUUUACACUUAACACCGUCAUUAAUUAACUAAUCUCCCACCUACCCCUCUCCCUCUUCUCUCUCUCUCUCUCUCUCUCUCUGCGCCCGAUCCCACAGAGGGAGCCGGCCCCCACCCUCCGAUCUGUCCUCCCCCACCUUUCCACGUCUGUCUGCUCUAAAUGGAACCGUCGAAA